CCUUAUCGAGAGCGGCUGAGGGAAUAGGCCCUGUGAUGCCCGGCAACCUAGGUGUCCGUAUGCGACAGAAAAGGUGCUAAAUCCUACAGAAUUAUCUUAUUCUGAAAGAUGAGG
rnacentral:ncRNA from 1 species